GUGUCAGCAGCCGCGGUAAUACGAAGGGGGCUAGCGUUGCUCGGAAUGACUGGGCGUAAAGGGCGCGUAGGCGGAUGUGACAGUCAGGCGUGAAAUUCCUGGGCUUAACCUGGGGACUGCGUUUGAGACGUUGCAUCUAGAGUGAGGAAGAGGGUCGUGGAAUUCCCAGUGUAGAGGUGAAAUUCGUAGAUAUUGGGAAGAACACCGGUGGCGAAGGCGGCGACCUGGUCCUUGACUGACGCUGAGGCGCGAAAGCGUGGGGAGCAAACAGGAUUAGAUACCCUGGUAGUCCACGCUGUAAACGAUGUGUGCUGGAUGUUGGGCGACUUUGUCGUUCAGUGUCGUAGCUAACGCGCUAAGCACACCGCCUGGGGAGUACGGCCGCAAGGUUGAA
rnacentral:rRNA from 1 species